AUUGAACGCUGGCGGCAGGCCUAACACAUGCAAGUCGAACGAGUGGCGGACGGGUGAGUAAUGUCUGGGACACUGCCUGAUGGCGGGGGAUAACUACUGGAAACGGUAGCUACUCCCGCCUACCAUCAGAUGUGCCCAGAUUGGAUUAGCUAGUUGGUGGGGUACCGGCUAACCAAGGGGACGAUCCCUAGCUGGUCUGAGAGGAUGACCAGCGACACUGGAACUGAGACACUGUCCAGACUCCUACGGGAGGCAGCAGUGGGGAAUAGUGCACCAUGGGCGCAAGCCUGAUGCAGCCAUGCCGCGUGUAUGAAGAAGGCCUUCGGGUUGUAAAGUACUUUCAGCGGGGAGGCGUUACCCGCAGAAGAAGCACCGGCUAACUCCGUGCCAGCAGCCGCGGUAAUAC
rnacentral:rRNA from 1 species